rnacentral:rRNA from 1 species
UACGUAGGGGGCAAGCGUUGUCCGGAAUCAUUGGGCGUAAAGCGCGCGUAGGCGGCCCGGUAAGUCCGUUGUGAAAGUCAAAGGCUCAACCUUUGAACGCCGAUGGAUACUGCCGGGCUAGAGUCCGGAAGAGGCGAGCGGAAUUCCUGGUGUAGCGGUGGAAUGCGCAGAUAUCAGGAGGAACACCAAUAGCGAAGGCAGCUCGCUGGGACGGUACUGACGCUGAGGCGCGAAAGCGUGGGGAGCGAACAGG